UGCGCAGGCGGCCGUGUGUGUCAGGUGUGAAAUCCCGGGGGCUUAACCCCGGAACUGCGCCUGAAACUACAUGGCUAGAGUAUUGGAGAGGGUAGCGGAAUUCACGGUGUAGCAGUGAAAUGCGUAGAUAUCGUGAGGAACACCAGAGGCGAAGGCGGCUACCUGGACAAUUACUGACGCUCAGGCACGAAAGCGUGGGGAGCAAAAGGGAUUAGAUACCCCUGUAGUCCACGCCCUAAACGGUGCACACUAGGUCUUGGCGGAUUCGACCCCACCAGGGCCCAAGCUAACGCGUUAAGUGUGCCGCCUGAGGACUACGGCCGCAAGGCUAAA
rnacentral:rRNA from 1 species